GGGCGAGGCCGAUCUGGGAGCCGCUGGCGCCACUAGAGGAGGGUGAGCGGCGCGGCAGAGUACGGCGCAGCGCAGCUCCCGAGGUUUUGGUUAUGAACAGGAUUCGGAUUCACGUCUUGCCAACCAAUCGGGGGAGGAUCACUCCAGUGCCCAGGUCUCAGGAACCUCUGUCUUGUGCAUUCACUCAUCGUCCAUGCUCUCACCCUCGUCUGGAGGGGCAGGAGUUUUGCAUUAAGCAUAUCCUUGAAGACAAGAAUGCACCCUUCAAGCAGUGUAGUUAUAUAUCGACGAAGAAUGGAAAAAGAUGUCCCAAUGCUGCCCCAAAGCCAGAGAAGAAAGAUGGGGUGUCCUUCUGUGCUGAACAUGUCCGUAGGAAUGCCCUGGCACUUCACGCUCAAAUGAAGAAGACCAACCCAGGGCCUGUGGGUGAAACACUCCUGUGCCAGCUGAGCUCAUAUGCUAAGACAGAGCUGGGGUCUCAGACUCCAGAAAGUAGUCGCAGUGAAGCCAGCCGAAUACUAGAUGAAGACAGCUGGAGUGAUGGGGAGCAGGAACCCAUUACUGUGGAUCAGACAUGGAGAGGUGACCCUGACAGUGAAGCUGAUAGCAUAGACAGUGAUCAAGAAGAUCCCCUAAAACACGCUGGUGUCUACACGGCAGAAGAAGUGGCCCUGAUUAUGCGUGAAAAGCUAAUUCGUUUGCAGUCGUUGUAUAUUGAUCAGUUUAAACGACUUCAGCAUCUGCUCAAGGAGAAGAAGCGCCGAUACUUACAUAAUCGCAAAGUGGAACAUGAAGCUCUAGGCAAUAGUCUCCUGACUGGCCCAGAGGGACUUUUGGCCAAAGAACGAGAGAACUUAAAGCGAUUAAAAUGUCUGCGUCGAUACCGCCAGCGCUAUGGAGUGGAAGCCUUACUGCAUAGGCAGUUGAAGGAACGGAGAAUGCUGGCCACAGAUGGUGCCGCCCAACAGGCCCAUACCACUCGUUCCAGUCAGAGGUGCUUGGCCUUUGUGGAUGAUGUUCGUUGUUCCAAUCAGUCUCUUCCAAUGACCAGACACUGCCUUACCCAUAUUUGUCAGGAUACGAAUCAGGUUCUCUUCAAGUGCUGCCAGGGAUCUGAAGAGGUACCCUGCAACAAACCUGUUCCUGUAAGCCUCUCUGAGGAUCCCUGCUGCCCACUGCAUUUCCAGUUGCCUCCUCAGAUGUAUAAGCCCGAGCAGGUACUGUCUGUGCCAGACGAUCUGGAAGCCGGCCCCAUGGAUCUGUACUUGAGUGCUGCUGAGCUUCAGCCCACUGAGAGUUUACCUCUGGAGUUCAGUGAUCCCCUGGCCACGAUGAAUCUACUUUUUGUCUCUGAUUUUGCUUAUUCCGGACAUUUCAUAUCAAUGUAAUAGUAUAUGUAUCCUUUUGUGUCUUGCUUGUUUCACUUAGCAUAAUGUUUUCAAGGUUUAUCCAUACUAUAAUAUGUAUCAAUACUUCAUUCCUUUUUGUGACUGAAUAUUCCAUUGUUUGGAAAUACCACGCUUUAAAAAUUUAUCAGUUGAUGGAUAUUUGUGCUGUUUCUACUUUCUGGCUAUUAAGGAAUAUACUGUUAAGAACUUUUGAGACAGAGUUUCUGUCGGUGGCAUGAGCCACCACGCCCAGCUUAGUUAUCAUUUUUAUAACUUUUUUUUUUUUUUAAUUGGGGUCUUGCUCUGUUGCUCAGGCUGGAGUGCAGUGGCAUGAUCAUGGCUCAGUGCAGCCUCGAACUCCUGGGCUUAAGUGAUCCUCCUGCCUCAGCCUCCCAAGUAGCUGGGACUAUAGGUUUAUGCCACCAUGCCCAGCCAAUUUUUUAUUUUUUGUAUAGAUGAGAUCUCCCUAUGUUGCAUGGGCUGGUCUUCAACUCCUAGGCUCAAGUGAUCCUCUUACCUUGGCCUCAAGUGAUCCUCUUACCUUGGCCUCCCAAAGUGCUGGGAUUACAAGUGUGAACCACUGUGCCUGGCCACUAUAACUUGGCUUUUUUUUUUUAGACUGAGUCUUGUUCUGUUGUUCAAGCUGGAGUGCAGUGAUGUGAUCUCAGCUCACUGCAGCCUCUGCCUUCAGGGUUCAAGUGAUUCUUGUGCUUCACCCUCCUGGGUAGCUGGGACUACAGGUGUGCGCCAGCAGGCCUUGCUGAUUUUUGUAUUUUUUGUAGAGACAGGGUUUCACCAUGUUGGCCAGGCUGGUCUCUAACUCCUGGCCUCAAGUGAUCCACCCACCUUGGCCUCCCAAAGUGCUGGAAUUAUAGGCAUGAUUCACCAUUCCUGGCCUAUAACUGUUAAUGAUAACUUUGGUGAUUUUACUUGUGGGAAGACUAGGCAUCAGAUAUUAAUAUGAGUAAAAACACAGCCGUUCAUUCUGGAUAUUUGCUUGUUUUCUGUGCUUUGAUGCAAGGGUGGUUGGCAAGUAGUAACUUAACACCUUAAUCUUACUACUUUUGAGUUCCUUCUCUCUCAUUCUCUAUUGCUGGUUUUGGAGAUAGUAACAAAACGUGGAUUCUCUUAUUUUAUCUUUAUUUAUUUUUUGAGACGGAGUCUUGGUCUGUCGCCCAGACUGGAGUGCAGUGGCACAAUCUCGGCUCACUGCAACCUUCACCAUCUGGGUUCAAGCAAUUCUCCUGUUCCUGCCUCCCGAGUAGCUGGGAUUACAGGACUUGGAUGUUGUGGGUGAUGGUAUGCAGUGUCCUCCUUCACCUUUGCUUUUUGAUCCUUCACUAACCCUUGAAGAUCAUUUAGUCAAAGAAAUUGCUGAAGACCCAGUGGAUAUUUUGGGCCAGAUGCAGAUGGCUGGAGAUGGGUGCAGAUCCCAGGGAUCUCGAAAUUCUGAGAAAGCCUCUACACCAUUGUCUCAGAGUGGAUUGGCUACUGCAAAUGGGAAGCCAGAACCCACUUCUAUUAGUUGAUAGUUUGGGGAACCAUUUUACUUUGGUGGAUUUAAAUUUCUCGUUCUUCAAAGAAGUAUUUCUGAUCAUCUCUCACAAAACACAGGCAACCCAGACUACCUUGUUUUUCUUCUGGAUUGAGUAUUAUAGUCAAACGUAAAGCCAAAUUUUGAGGACGUGGACUGUGGGUUUCUUCCCAUUCAGGGCAAGGAAGAGAAAGAGAGAUAAUCCCUAUCAAAGCUUCUGGGAUUAUUUGGGACUAUACCUAAAAGGAAAGUGACAUCUUUGUAAUGGGAUUUCCCAAGUCAUGGAUAGAAAUCCACUUAAGUAGCUAGGUGGGAGCUGUCUUUGUGAGUGGUGUCUUUGAGAUACUGAUGGCCCUAAUAUCGGUUAUCUCUAUCUGAAGACCUGCAGUUUAGCUUUUCUUCACCUCUACUUAAUUGGGCAGUCUUUAACCCCUUUCCCUGGUGAACUCUGGCUUUUUAUCCUCUGAGAAAACAGCCCACAGGACUGGGUCCUCCUUAUCCAUCUUGCUUUUAACUUAUGUAAAUUUCUGUGGUUGCUAUCUUAUGUAAAAUAUAGUAAAAAUUUAUUGUAUAUAGUUUCUAUUAAAUGUUAAAGAAAAUGUUAUGAAAAUAUCAAACAGUCAA